GGAGCAGGGCUGUGGACAGCGCACAAGGCCUGCCGGGCUGCAGAGUGUCAGCCACUCCAUGCGCCGCGGAUCAACCAAGUUAUGCGAAGCGACUAACUCGUGACAGCCUCGGGCGCUGGAUACUGGCCACGCCGCCACCUCUCUCCGGGUCCCAACGCUCAUGCAAGCAGCCUGGUCCCAGACGGCUCGACCCCCGGCCCUCGCCUCUGAGCCAGGGUUUGGGAUUAGGAGAUCUCCGUCACGGGUCAGGAGUCUUGAGGGAUCCUAAUUCCUCGUACUUAACCUCGGGUCGGAGAUGGCAGAGGGGAUCUCAGUCAAAGCCAGAUUAAAGGAGUGACGCGAACUGGGGGGAAGAAAGCAGAGAUCACUGUACCUGACUAGGAGACAGCGCCUGCUGGAGCUGCUGCUGCUCCUCGCUGAUCUUUUGCUUUAGUUUCUUGAACAUGGCGCAGCGCGGGGUCCUGAGUGUGAAUGAGACCUAAGCGGUGCCAGGGUUCUAUGGAUGCUACAGUGAAUAAAACGAAAUACCUUCCCAUAAAGACUUCACGUCCUAGUGGAAAAUACAUAUUCCUAAAGAUACCAAAUUCACCCUUAACGCCUUCAAUCAUUCUAAGAGAUUUUAAUGUUUAUGUGCCUAAUUCAGCCAAGAAUCUGAACUUUGGCCAUCUGUGGACCCUCAAAUCCACCUCAGUAAUUGACUUCUGCAUGUUAUACCUUUGGCAUCGUCUGAAAUUGCUUGACAUUGCCUCAGGUAUCAGAGCUUGAAAAGUAUACUCUGAUUUCCACAUUUUAGCAAGUUUUAUUUACCAGCAAUCAUAAGAGCAAGCUGCUUCCUAAGAUUCCAUAGCCUGAUCCCUACAUGUGUUAGAACUGGAGUGGGUCCUAGUCUAACCAUUGCCCUGACACAUGGCCUCAGUCCUCUCAAAUCUCAUAGUGAACACAUUACCAAGAGUUUCUUUUCUUAUUUUCUCAAGAGUCCUUAUCUCUCAACAGAUUGUAAAGUUCAUAGGCCUUCAGUUAAUACCGGACUCCAGAUGUCCAAUGUGCAUUUUCACCCCAGCAUUCACAAUUACAUAUCAAAGUUCGCUAGUUUUAUAUCUAUACAUAUGUAUGUGUAUAUAUAUCUGCGUGUGUGUAUAUAUACAUAUAUGUGGAUCCUAUCAAAGCAGGCUAUAAUAAAUAACAGAUGAAUAACAAAAGAUGUGAGAUAUCAUUUAGAGAAACGAAAAGAUCAGAGGAAGACUAAUUAUGUGGGGGAAAAAAGGGAUAUCCUCGCUAAGACAAAAAAAAGAGGGUGGAUGGGGAAAAGGAGACAGGGUUGAAACCCUUCAUCACAUUUAACCACAAUUUUGUUGACACAUUAAGCCUCUUCACAGUGAGCCUAUCUGCUUGAAGCCUCUACAACAUUCACAGUCUAGGGUUUCUAUUCUUAGUUAAACCUAUAAAUUACUCUUAAUUCUUCAGCCACUUUGGAUGCCACAAAAUUGGAUACAAAUCACCUUCUGAAGGCUCUGGCCUUGGCCGACUUCUCAGAGUCCUGCACCAACCCAGCCUUCGCACUCUGACUACCCCUGUGUUCCGUGUUAGUAUUUGAACUCCAUCUCCUGACUAUUGCCCAAGGACUGGCACACCUCACUGCAGAGCAGAAGUUCAUUUGAAAUGGGCUUGCAUCCCAGUCAUAAUGAUCAAGGUCUCAUGUGAAUUCCCAAGAGAACUAAUACACAUCUUUAUCAACACAAAGAAACAAUCUUCAUUAUUGUAGAACAAAUCAUAUUGUCAUUAUUUUUCCACUCCUUCCAAAAGCAAAUAACAUCCCCAUCUUCAUGAAUCAGGAAACUUUCAGAAUAUCAAAAUCACUAGGGACUAUGCCUCAGAAAAUAGUUUUAUAUUACCAACUUUCUAAGCCUCAGGUAAAAAAAAAAAAAAGAUAUUAAAAAAGCUUCUAGUGGACAGUGGAUUGUAUAUCAUGGAUGAUUGUAUGGUGUGUGAAUGUAUUUCAAUAAAACUGAAUUUAAUUUAAAAAAAAAGCUUCUAACCAAAAGAACCAAUAUACAGUUGAAAUCUUUAACUUAGAUUGCUACUUUCUGAUCACAAAUAUCAGCCUUUCUGCAUCACCACACAAUUCCCUUUCUUACUCCUCAAGAACCCUAGUUCCUGCCAACCACGUAGUGGUUAAGAGGAUGGUUUUUUAUGUCACCCUGAUUUGGUUUAAGUACAAGUCAUCUACAUAUUAGCUCUGUGACUUUUAGCACUCAGAUAAACCACAGAGUGCAAAGUCAAACGCCUGAGGAGAGCAGGAUGGUUAUGAUAUGAUGAUAGAGUAGCAAACUAGAUGCAAACCUCUUUAGAGGCAUUUUUAAAUUGCCGCAACAAAACGUCUCUUAGAAUAAAUCCAGCCCACAAACCAGAUUGUGACCUCUGAGUCUUAAUUCUCUGCCCUUCAUUCUCCUUAUCUGGAACAUUUAAUAAUUCAUAACGUUGUGAGGCCCAAAAGAGAUGAUGUGUACAGAGUGUAUAGCUAAUAGUAAAUGAUACUUAUAAUUCUAAGAGUUUUAUUCUCUUCUUUUUUGUAAACACUCUCCCUGGGUAAAUACCAUCCUCUAUAUUUUGAGAGUUCUACCUAGAUCUCUCCUUCUGAGCCCCAGAUUAUAGCCUCUCCACUAGGUUCUCAAGUCUGGGGGGACAAGAACCAUACCUGUCAUCCAACUCAGUCAGUAUGCAUUGUAAUUGCUCAGGACCAAAUUAAUAUUUUUUUCAGGUAACACCCUAAAAUAACUCUUCUAAGUUUUUCUAAACAAGAGCAAACUUAUUUGGCUAAUUUUUAAGGAAAAGUUUGUUAAGAAUUAGGAGGCAUCUUUCUUGUCUGUCAUUUUUCUCUUUAUAGUGCUUUAGAGUGAUUGUUGGAAAAUAUUCAUUUCUGGAUGCUCCAUUAUGUUUGACCUGUCCAGAAAUAGGCAUGGGCCUGGCUAGGAAAUAAUACCAAAUAGAUGAGAUUACUUAUCUAAUUAGUUUUAACAUAUCCAACUAUCUAUUGGACAUCUCCCCUUAACAGCCCAGAGGCACCUCAAAAUUCAACAUGCACAAAACUGAAAUCAUCCACUGUUACACUCCCCAACAGCACCACCAGACUUGUCCCUUCUGUGUUUUCUUUUACCAUGUUGCUUCUCCCCUUCACAAGCUUGUUCUUCCUUCUGUAUUUUAUCCCUUGGCUGGUAUCAUCUCCAUUUGCCCCAUUGCCCAAGCCAGAAAUUUGGAAGUCAAUCAAGACAUCCCUCUCUCAUUCAUCACUCAUAGCCAGAGAAUCACCGAGUCCUGUGUCUUGGACUCUGAUGUAUUUCUCAUAUUCAUCCUCUCUUUCCUAUUCACCCUGCUGCAAGAUAAUUUGACUCUCCAUUAUUUCUCACUACAUAAAUGGUCUCCGAGUUUCCACAUUUGCUUCUCUCCAAUCCACCUUUUAUGUAGCAGAUCUUAUGCUCCUGCUGAAACCCCACCACUGGACCCCUUGUCCUGCAGGAUGGUGUUCAAACUUGCAGGCAGCACAAGAAGCUCUCAGCAACCUGGCUCUUGCUUUCCCUCUUGCCACAACAUCUCCACACUUUAUACAUCACAGCUCCAAAAUGUCAAACUACUUGUGGUUCCCUUUGCACAUCCUGUUGUUCCAUACCUCC